AGUGAACGCUGGCGGCGUGCUUAACACAUGCAAGUCGAACGAGAACGGAUUAUAGCUUGCUAUAAUUGUCAGCUAAGUGGCGCACGGGUGAGUAAUGUAUAGGUAAUAUGCCUCUUACUAAGGGAUAACAAACGGAAACGUUUGCUAAUACCUUAUACUCCUUAUUAACAGAAGGUAAUAAGGGAAAGAUUUAUUGGUAAGAGAUUAGCCUGUAUUGUAUCAGUUAGUAGGUGGGGUAAUGGCUUACCAAGACUAUGACGCAAAACUGGUUUGAGAGGAUGAUCAGUCACACUGGAACUGAGACACGGUCCAGACUCCUACGGGAGGCAGCAGUGGGGAAUAUUGCACAAUGGACGAAAGUCUGAUGCAGCAACGCCGCGUGGAGAAUGACACAUUUCGGUGCGUAAACUCCUUUUAUAUGAGAAGAUAAUGACGGUAUUAUAUGAAUAAGCACCGGCUAACUCCGUGCCAGCAGCCGCCGUAAUAC
rnacentral:rRNA from 1 species